UCCCUGGCAGUCCAGUGGUUAGGACUCAGGACUUUCACUGCUGUGUCCCAGUUUCAAUCCCUGGUCGGGGAA
rnacentral:tRNA from 1 species